ACAGGUAGAGAAAUCAGUCUGACUGCACCAAUAUUUUGAGAUUUAGCAUCUUCAUUUCUCUUUAAGCCUUAAUGUGGAAAAUUCUUUGUCAAAGUGGACAGAAUGAAAAUUUGAUAUGCACUUUUUCUUUCUCUUUAGCAGCUGAAUGUUCAAGAAGAACCAUUCAUUCUCAGCAUAUGAUGAAGGAAAAUAGCAUUUGGAGGCUGAAGACUUAAGCAGGAAGUCUGUGUCACGGGAUCUUGUAGAGCAGGGGCAAAAAGAGGAAAGGUUGGAGAAUGCUCAUGAGAUUUUAAGGUCUUGAAGUUUAAUUUCAAGAAUGGAGUUCUUGAGGAGGGAGGAAGUUCAACUUCCUAAAUGUCUGAAGCCAAAUGGCUUUGCCUGGUCUAUGUGCAAAUCUGCCAGUUAAAACCGUGAAGAUAGUGAUUGUAUGGUGAUUGUA
rnacentral:lncRNA from 1 species